rnacentral:rRNA from 1 species
GACGAACGCUGGCGGCGUGCUUAACACAUGCAAGUCGAACGCUGAAGCCUAGCUUGCUGGGUGGAUGAGUGGCGAACGGGUGAGUAACACGUGAGUAACCUGCCCUCUUCUUUGGGAUAACGCCCGGAAACGGGUGCUAAUACUGGAUAUUCACUGAUCUUCGCAUGGGGGUUGGUGGAAAGGUUUUUUCUGGUGGGGGAUGGGCUCGCGGCCUAUCAGCUUGUUGGUGGGGUGAUGGCCUACCAAGGCUUUGACGGGUAGCCGGCCUGAGAGGGUGACCGGUCACAUUGGGACUGAGAUACGGCCCAGACUCCUACGGGAGGCAGCAGUGGGGAAUAUUGCACAAUGGGCGAAAGCCUGAUGCAGCGACGCCGCGUGAGGGAUGGAGGCCUUCGGGUUGUAAACCUCUUUCGCUCAUGGUCAAGCCGCAACAGUGGUUGUGGUGAGGGUAGUGGGUAAAGAAGCACCGGCUAACUACGUGCUAGCGGCCUCGGGUAAUACGUAGGUGUGCU